rnacentral:rRNA from 1 species
CGCAUCUGUGCAUGCAGCAUAUCAAUAAGCGGAGGAAAAGAAACUAACAAGGAUUCCCCUAGUAACGGCGAGUGAAGCGGGAAGAGCUCAAAUUUGAAAUCUUAAAGGGUUUCCCUUUACGAAUUGUAGUUUAAAGAAGUGUUUUCUGUUGAGGUUUUGGUAAAAGUUCUUUGGAAUAGGACAUCAUAGAGGGUGAGAAUCCCGUAUUUGACCUUUACUUUCAACUUUGUGAUACACUUUCAAAGAGUCGGAUUGUUUGGGAAUGCAGUCCAAAAUGGGUGGUAAAUUUCAUCUAAAGCUAAAUAUUGGCGAGAGACCGAUAGCGAACAAGUACCGUGAGGGAAAGAUGAAAAGAACUUUGAAAAGAGAGUUAAACAGUACGUGAAAUUGUCAAAAGGGAAGCGUUUGACACCAGUGUUGUUUUUCUGAAAAUCAAUUAAAGAACUGUUUAUGCUAAGUUGUUUAGACUUUAUCAGCUAACUGUUUAGUUUUGAGCUUUUCUUUGAUGCACUUUUCAGUUAACAAGUCAACAUCAAUUUCUUUUGCUGUAAAAAAGCUUGAGGAAGGUGGCUUGAGAUUCGUCUUAAGUGUUUAUAGCCUCUUGCCUAUGCAGUCGGAGAGAUUGAGGUCUGCAGCGUAGAUCCUUCGGGGCUAAAUGCAUUUGUGCUAAGUUAUAACAUUUUAUAGACAACUUGUUGACUAUGAUUUGUCUUGUAGCUUACUCGCUUAUGUUAUUUUACCUACGCUUAGGAUGUUGACAGCAGUAUAGACUGU